AGUGCUAAGAUGGCAGGACUAGCCAUGAGACCAGAGUAGCAGUGGCGGGGGCGGGGGCUCUUAUGCAGACGGAGAUGGCAGGAACAUGGACGGAAAUGGAGGGCCGGAGCACGGCAGUGCUGGCUCCUUCCAUGUCAUGCAACCUCUCACUGCUACAAUAUCCUAGGAAGAAUUGACCAUAACCUAAAAAGAAAGCAAGGUUGAAAGAUUUAUUUUACACCAACGUUAAGCAUCAGUCUGAGACAGAUACUGGAAGAGGAAGACAGAGCAUGCAAGCAAUUUGCCUUUUAAUUUAUUUUGCUCUCUGGAUGACAUUAGUCUUUGGCUUUGCAGCACAAUUCACCUCUAAGUUUGCUGUUGACUUAGUUUAGUGACUUAAUGCUUGCUGUAGCUUUGGCACCAUGAAGUCCCACCACCACCUCCCAACCUCCUUGUAGGCAUCCUUAUGCCCUUUCCAGGUCUCAGAAGCAAAUGACAGCAAGAAUACCUGUAAGCUGAACCAACUGCCGCCACCAGGCUGGACUCUGGAUUUGGCCUCAACAAGGAAGUUAAAGGGAAGGAGUAUGAUCCACGUUGACUGAACCCAGCCACUCUGCCUACUUACUUCAUCCUUAGAGCUACUCAUUAAAGUCCUACAAAAGCUCA